GAGGGUAUAGCUCAGUGGUAAGAGCACAUGCUUAGCAUGCAUGAGGUCAUGGGUUUGACCCCCAGUACCUCCA
rnacentral:tRNA from 1 species